rnacentral:rRNA from 1 species
GGGGGAAACCCUGACGCAGCAACGCCGCGUGUGGGAAGAAGGCCUUCGGGUCGUAAACCACUUUUACUCGGGACGAAAAAGGGAUAUCAAAUAAAUAUCCCCGAUGACGGUACCGUGAGAAUAAGCCACGGCUAACUCUGUGCCAGCAGCCGCGGUAAGACAGAGGUGGCAAGCGUUGUUCGGAAUUACUGGGCGUAAAGAGUCUGUAGGUGGUUUGUCAAGUCUUUGGUGAAAGGCCGUAGCUUAACUAUGGGAAUGCCAAAGAGACUGGCAGGCUGGAGGCUGGGAGAGGGAAGCGGAAUUUCUGGUGUAGCGGUGAAAUGCGUAGAUAUCAGAAGGAAGGCCGGUGGCGAAGGCGGCUUCCUGGAACAGUCCUGACACUGAGAGACGAAAGCGUGGGGAGCAAACAGGAUUAGAUACCCUGGUAGUCCACGCCCUAAACGAUGGGUACUAAGUGUGGAGGGGUUAAACCCUCCGUGCCGCAGCAAACGCAGUAAGUACCCCGCCUGGGGAGUACGGCCCGCAAGGUUGAAACUCAAA